rnacentral:rRNA from 1 species
GACGAACGCUGGCGGCGCGCCUAACACAUGCAAGUCGAACGGAGUCAAGAGGAGCUUGCUUUUCUUGACUUAGUGGCGAACGGGUGAGUAACGCGUGAGUAACCUGCCCUGGAGUGGGGGACAACAGUUGGAAACGACUGCUAAUACCGCAUAAGCCCACGGAUCUGCAUGGAUCUGCGGGAAAAGGAUUUAUUCGCUCUAGGAUGGACUCGCGUCCAAUUAGCUAGUUGGUGAGGUAACGGCCCACCAAGGCGACGAUUGGUAGCCGGACUGAGAGGUUGAACGGCCACAUUGGGAAUGAGACACGGCCCAGACUCCUACGGGAGGCAGCAGUGGGGGAUAUUGCACAAUGGGGGAAACCCUGAUGCAGCGACGCCGCGUGGAGGAAGAAGGUUUUCGGAUUGUAAACUCCUGUCGUUAGGGACGAUAAUGACGGUACCUAACAAGAAAGCACCGGCUAACUACGUG